UUAAGAUAGCUUGCUAUUUUUAUGAAGAGCGGCGAACGGGUGAGUAACGCGUGGGAAAUCUGCCGAGUAGCGGGGGACAACGUUUGGAAACGAACGCUAAUACCGCAUAACAAUGAGAAUCGCAUGAUUCUUAUUUAAAAGAAGCAAUUGCUUCACUACUUGAUGAUCCCGCGUUGUAUUAGCUAGUUGGUAGUGUAAAGGACUACCAAGGCGAUGAUACAUAGCCGACCUGAGAGGGUGAUCGGCCACACUGGGACUGAGACACGGCCCAGACUCCUACGGGAGGCAGCAGUAGGGAAUCUUCGGCAAUGGGGGCAACCCUGACCGAGCAACGCCGCGUGAGUGAAGAAGGUUUUCGGAUCGUAAAACUCUGUUGUUAGAGAAGAACGUUAAGUAGAGUGGAAAAUUACUUAAGUGACGGUAUCUAACCAGAAAGGGACGGCUAACUACGUGCCAGCAGCCGCGGUAAUACGUAGGUCCCAAGCGUUGUCCGGAUUUAUUGGGCGUAAAGCGAGCGCAGGUGGUUUCUUAAGUCUGAUGUAAAAGGCAGUGGCUCAACCAUUGUGUGCAUUGGAAACUGGGAGACUUGAGUGCAGGAGAGGAGAGUGGAAUUCCAUGG
rnacentral:rRNA from 1 species